AACGAACGCUGGCGGCAGGCCUAACACAUGCAAGUCGAACGAGUGGCGGACGGGUGAGUAAUGUCUGGGAAACUGCCUGACGGAGGGGGAUAACUACUGGAAACGGUAGCUAAUACCGCAUACCAUCAGAUGGGCUCAGAUGGGAUUAGCUAGUUGGUGGGGUAACGGCUCCCCAAGGCGACGAUCCCUAGCUGGUCUGAGAGGAUGACCAGCCACACUGGGACUGAGACACGGUCCAGACUCCUACGGGAGGCAGCAGUAGGGAAUCUUUCACAAUGGGCGCAAGCCUGAUGCAGCCAUGCCGCGUGUGUGAAGAAGGCCUUCGGGUUGUAAAGUACUUUCAGCGGGGAGGCGUUACCCGCAGAGGAAGCACCGGCUAACUCCGUGCCAGCAGCCGCGGUAAUAC
rnacentral:rRNA from 1 species